AUGCUCCAGGACAAGCAGCCGGCGAUGGCAUACCUUAACAGAAUGGAGUACGGCGUAGGUGAGGGUUGUAUCAGGCCGCAUGGGAAGAACCUGAAGUUGCAAGUGGAUACAGUCAAGAACAUAGUUAAAGGUGAUAUGGGAGAUAAGUUCCCUAGGCAAGCUGGAUUGAAGCUUGAUGAGCCGAACCCAAGGGACGUGCUUAGUUUCUACCACAAAAUUCUAUCAUUCACAUCAACGGAUGUUGCAAAGAAGUGGUUCAAGCAUACUUAUCCAAAUCUUAUAAUCCUGAGGGGGAAGACUUUGUGA
rnacentral:rRNA from 1 species